rnacentral:rRNA from 1 species
ACUCCUACGGGAGGCAGCAGUGGGGAAUAUUGGACAAUGGGCGCAAGCCUGAUCCAGCAAUGCCGCGUGUGUGAAGAAGGCCUUCGGGUUGUAAAGCACUUUUAUCAGGAGCGAAAUACUACUGGCUAAUAACCGGUGGGGCUGACGGUACCUGAGGAAUAAGCACCGGCUAACUUCGUGCCAGCAGCCGCGGUAAUACGAAGGGUGCAAGCGUUAAUCGGAAUUAUUGGGCGUAAAGGGAGUGUAGGCGGUUGCCUAAGUCUUCUGUGAAAUCUACGGGCUUAGCCUGUAACGUGCAGAGGAAACUGGGUGACUUGAGUGUCGGAGAGGAUAGGGGAAUACCCGGUGUAGAGGUGAAAUUCGUAGAGAUCGGGUGGAACACCAGUGGCGAAGGCGCCUAUCUGGCUGACAACUGACGCUGAGACUCGAAAGCAUGGGGAGCAAACAGGAUUAGAUACCCUGGUAGUCCAUGCCGUAAACGAUGAUAGCUAGAUGUGUGCGGUAUUGACCCCGUACGUGUCGAAGCCAACGCGAUAAGCUAUCCGCCUGGGGAGUACGGUCGCAAGAUUAAAACUCAAAGGAAUUGACG